ACAUGGUUGAUUUCAGAGGCUACAUUGUACUUUUCCUCGUAUGGCUAGUCUCCACAAUCUUGGUCCGAUCAAUCUUCCGGAGAAGUAAGACCACAUCUAGUCUUCCACCAAGCCCAAUGGCAUUACCAAUCAUCGGACACCUCCACCUCCUUGCCCCAAUACCUCACCAGGCACUUCACAAACUUUCCAUCCGCUAUGGACCCUUAAUUCAUUUGUUCCUUGGCUCAGUCCCAUGUAUUGUUGCUUGCUCCCCUGAAACAGCAAAAGAGAUCCUCAAAACCCAUGAAACUUCUUUCUGCGACCGCCCCAUUUCAGCUGCGGUUGACUACCUUACAUAUGGCUCAGCUGAUUUCUCAUUUGCUCCUUAUGGACCUUACUGGAAGUUCAUGAAGAAAUUAUGCAUGACUCAACUUCUUGGUGGCCAAACGCUGAACCAAUUUAUCCCCAUCAGGUCUGAAGAAAUAUGGCGGUUUAUGCAGCUCAUGCUGAAGAAAGCGAAAGCAAGUGAGGCAGUUGAUGUUGGAAAAGAGCUUAUUCGGCUAACAAAUAACGUAGUGUCAAGAAUGACUAUGGGCCAAAUAUGUUCCAUCAAUGACAAAGAAGCUGAUGAGGUCAGGAAGUUGGUGCAAGAAACAGCUGAACUCACCGGAAAAUUUAAUUUGCAAGAUUAUAUUUGGUUCUGUAAGAACAUAGAUUUACAGGGAUUUGGGAAAAGACUCAAGGAAGUUCGUCGCAAGUUUGAUGAUAUGAUGGAGAGAAUUUUAAAGGAGCACCAAGAAGCAAGAAAGAUAAAUAAAGAAACAGGCAAGGAUUAUGCACCCAUGGAUUUACUUGAUAUGCUACUAGAUAUAUCAGAAGAUGAGAGCUCAGAAAUCAAGUUGACCAGAGAAAACAUCAAGGCCUUCAUCCUGGUAAGGAAUAUUUGCCAGCUAUUAAUAAAAAUACUUGAAAAUCACUUCGAUAAACCAUCAUUCUUCGCUUGUGAUAUGCAGGAUAUUUUCGCUGCUGGUACUGAUACAUCAGCUAUCACUGUAGAAUGGGCGCUAGCAGAGCUAAUCAAUCACCCUGACAUGAUGAAAAAAACAAGAGAAGAGAUUGAUUCUGUUGUAGGAAAGAGCAGACUAGUAGAAGAAUCAGAUAUCAUAAACCUUCCCUAUCUCCAGGCUCUAGUAAAAGAAACACUUCGGCUUCACCCAACUGGCCCAAUGUCCGUAAGAGAAUCAACUGAAAACUGCACCAUCAAUGGCUAUGAGAUCCCGGCAAGGACGAGAGUGUUCAUUAACGUGUGGGCAAUAAACAGGGACCCGAACCACUGGGAAACCCCACUUGAAUUCUGCCCCGAAAGGUUCAUUGCAGAAGAUGGGAAGAGCCAGUUGGAUGUCAGGGGACAACAUUAUCAUUAUAUUCCGUUCGGCAGCGGAAGAAGAGCCUGCCCUGGAACCACAUUAGCACUACACAUGGUUCAUUCAACCCUUGCUGCUAUGAUUCAGUGCUUUGAUUGGGAGGUUAUUGGAGGAAAUGGCACUAGAGUCGACAUGGAAGAAGGAACUGGCCUAACUCUUCCGAGGGCCCAUCCUCUGAUUUGUGUCCCUAUUACUAGGAUUAAUCCGUUUCCAUUAUCCUGAUUCAUCGUAAGAAAACACAAAAACAAGGAGAAAACAGUGACUUAGUUUUGAUUCUAGUGGCCACAUAUUUUUCCGAAUGUAAAACUUCUUGUUCUUGUAACACUUAAUGAUUUUCUUUUAAGAUGUAGAUCCUGUUUAUAGUGAAGUCAGAUUUUCUUCUCUUCAGUAGGUCAAAAUGCGUGGAAUUAUUGACAAAUUGUUGCUUAUGAAGAUCACUGAACUUUGAUAUUAACAUUUGUGCAAGAGUAAAAGCUCAACUCUUAAUAUUCUGUGCAGAGUGCACACCAUGACCUAGAAAGUGUUUGAUAAACUCGAUGAUUAUGUCUUCAAUGUUUAGUGACAAACCUUAGAAAGCAAAGAUCACUGAACUUUGAUAUUAACAUUUGUACAAGAGUAAAAGCUCAACUCUUAAUAUUCUGUGCAGAGUGCACACCAUUACUUAGAAAGUGUUUGAUAAACUCGAUGAUUAUGUCUUCAAGGUUUAGUGACAAACCCUAGAAAGCAAAGUCUUUGAUUGCUGAACUAUAUCUACUCGGUACGAACAUCAUUGAUUUAACUUUUAAUAAAAUGAGAAAGUGAGGAAACUUAUACUUGCCUUCAAAAUACAAUUCCUGAUGCCUGAAAAAUUCGGGGCAUCAAUUCCGGUCAAAGUAGCAUUUCUAUUUUCAAAAAAGAAAAAAAAUGGUUGAUACAUUGUUGAUUCUUGUUUCAUCUGCCUUUGAACUCUAUUUUCACAUGAACUGAUGAACACGAACGGAGCUAACCAAACUCAUUAAUAUUAUUUAACAUUAUAAAACCUAAUUAAAUAACUCAACAAUCAUGAUUACCACCUAAUCCCAACCUUCUUUUUACAGGCAAUGCUUUGAAUAAUUGAAUUUCUUAUCAACUAAUUAAUUAAUUGUUCGUGGGUAAGUUCAAAACACUCGGGUCCCUCGCUUUCCGCUGCAAUCGUGGGAUGGAAUCAUGGGACUCACAGAAAAAUAAUACCUUUUAAUAAUUAAUUAUGAACAUAAAAUAAAUCAACAAGAACCGGAUGCGGAUAAGUCCUCUAAUGGGACGUGCGAUCAGGACCACGUGUCAUAGACCCACAAACCGUUUCAAUUUCAUAAUUUUAUCAUCCGCCCAUAGUUUUAUACAUUACUCCUAUUUUUUGUUUUGUUUGUUUAAACUCUAAACUCAAGGCAACUCAUUUCUAUCUGCGUCUAUAAUUAACAGUAUGGAUCUGCCUCGAAUAUCUCUCAAUUAGUUGCUUUCAAAUCUUUCAAGUCCGAGCAAUUUUUCCUUAUCUUCACAAUUUGUAUUUUCUUUCUAUUUCAGAUUCAUCAUUCAGUGUCCAAACUCAAUUGCUAUCCAGUUUUGAUACAUUGUAUUUGAUUAUCUUUUUCAUUCUUUAUCAUAAUCUUUCACAAAUUAGAUCUGUUUUUGUAUUUUAGAGGUGAAAAUCUCAUUUGGGUGUCGCUCAAAUCUACCGAUUUACACAAAAAAAAAACGUAACUUUAAUCAAUUCUUAUUGUCCAAAAUUGCGGGGUUGUUUCCAAGGUGGUGACAGACUGAUACAUAUUAAAAGUUUCAUGAUAGUUAAAAAUUGAUUACCAUCAGGUUCUUUCAUUCCUCGCUUAAAUUGAAAGAAGAUUGAAACUUUUAGCACUUAAAACAUAUAUUUUGGAUGAGAGUUUUAGCACUUCAAAUAUAUAUUUUGGAUGAAAGUUUCAUGACUCUUGAAGUUAAAGCUUUUUAACAUGCUUAGUCUCUCUUUUGUUAACAUUGUGACAUGAUCAUUGAAGCAGGCUCAGGAGAGAAAUUAAUCUUAAUCGCUUGGUUUGCUAAGAUGGGAAGUGAUUAGUUAAGCAGCUCCUCUUCAAGUUGGUGUUAAAGCAAACAGAUCCAUCGGAAAUACCCAGCUAACUGACACUAAUCAAACUCAACCAAGCCAUCCCCCAACGGCAAUCCUUCAACACUUCCCUUUGACAGACUGUUUCAAAUAUUCUUCAGCUAAGAAAAGUGCUCUGUCAAUAUGUGACUGCUGCAGUUGAUGUAAGCUUAGUGUUGAAUCAUGUGACAUUUCUGUGUACGUUCUUUUCUCUGUGUUUAGCUGUUCUCGAUCAAGUUCUUUGAGUAUUGAUUGCGAUUUCUUGUGUUCAAUCAAUUUUUUAAUCUUUAUAGAAUACUUUGAUCUCGAUCAACUAGGCCUGGGUUUCAAGGUUUCUUGGCUUGAAAUCCUAAGAAACUUAGAAUUGCAGAGGUUAAAAUUUAAAAAUGUAGACUAUUGAAGACCUAUAAGCCUAUUAAAGUAUCGUUGCAAUAAAGUUGUCUCUUGGCUGUUGCUGUAUUACUAUAAAUAUACCAUAGCAAAAGCAGUGAAAGAAUGAAGCUUUGAUGGCAAAAACUAACCUACCCAAUAAGUAAAGUCAGGGAUAUAAAUCAGAAUAAAAGGUUUGCAGAGCGUACAACAUUAUUUCAUCAAUGCACUUUUAUUGUGCCUGCUGAAGAUCCUGUACCCUCAUUGGCCAGUCAUUGAUAUUUAGUAACAAGAUGACUGUUCAGGGUUCUGCUUUCACCCUGGCAGCCGGCAGCUCACUGCAAAUACCAAAUACAUGUGGUUAAAAUUCACUAAAAUGAAAGAUUAAACAUUUGCAUACAAACAAGUGAUUAAAAAAUUAGCAGAAGCAAAUACUACACACUAUCACUGACUCAGUCAUGGCUUUGCCAACCAUCUCAUUAAAGACAAUGACCAAAAUCCAUGAGUAAGAAUUCAGACUUCCUGCAAUUAAAUAUUAACAUUAUAUCUCAUGAACAACUCAUGCACGUAUAUAUACAGAUUACAUUCCUAUAAUUAAGGGGUUAAUAUUCCUACGUAUUCCUACGUAUCCCUAUAGUCUAGCAGUUGUCAUUGUUUGUUUACAACUAAUAUUCCGAUACCCCCCUCAAGUUGGAGCAUGCAGGUCUUGAAUGCCCAACUUGCGAAGGAAGAACUCAAACCGUUGUCUACCCAAUGCCUUCGUAAAUAUAUCAGCCAGUUGUGCAUGGGUCGAGACAUAAGCUGGUUGAAUGUUACCAAAGCGAACCUCAUCACGAACAAAAUGACAGUCUAUCUCAAUAUGUUUGGUCCGCUCAUGAAACACUGGAUUUGCUGCAAUGUGUAAGGCUGCCUGAUUGUCACAGUAUAGCUUCAUUGGAUUUGGAUGCUCCACGCCAAGAGUCAAUAGUAUCUCUUUUAACCAUUUUAAUUCGCAAGUGGUUGCUGCCAUAGAUCGAUAUUCUGCCUCAGCCGACGACCGAGAGACAGUGUGUUGCUUCUUCGUCUUCCAAGAGACUGGUGAAUUGCCGAGUAGAAUGAACCAUCCAGUUAAAGAACGACGAGUUAAUGGACAACUUGCCCAAUCUGAGUCACACCAAGCUGAUAAUUGCAGGUCACAGUCUGAUCGUAGCAUUAUUCCUUGACCAGGAUUCCCUUUCAAGUAACGCACAACGCGUAGAGCAGCCGCCCAAUGUUCUUCUCGUGGCUGUUGCAUGAAUUGUGCCAACACAUGCACACUGUAAGAUAAUUCGGGACGUGUAACAGAGAGAUAAAUAAGUCGGCCCACCAAACGUCUGUAACUCUCAGGUUUAGAUAAGAAAACGCCAUCGGCCAAAGCCAAAUUAUAGUUGUGCUCUAGCGGGAAAGAUGCAGGUUUAGCUCCGAGUAGACCAACCUCAGAGAUAAUAUCCAGCGCAUAUUUACGUUGGCACAAGAAAAUUCCUGUAGGACUUCGGGCUACUUCGAUUCCGAGGAAAUAUUUCAACAUUCCUAAAUCCCUCAUAUGAAAACAUUUGCUCAAAUAUUCCUUGAAAACUUUAAUGGCUGCAUGAUCAUUACCUGUCACAACAAUGUCAUCAACAUAUACAAGGACAUUGAUUUGUACCUUGCCUUGGCUCAAAGUAAAAAGAGAGGAGUCCGAGUAUGAUUGUUCGAAACCAUAACUCUUCAGAGCAGUAACCAAUUUCGCAAACCAACAUCGGGGAGCUUGUUGUAAUCCAUACAAAGACUUCUUCAAAUGACAUACCAUCCCUGGGUUCUCUGAAUGAAAACCAGGAGGCAUACACAUGUACACCUCUUCUUCCAAAUCGCCGUGUAAGAACGCAUUAUGCACGUCCAUUUGAUGAAGUUCCCAGUGCUUAGCUGCUGCUACUGCCAGAAGAGCUCGAACUGUAACCAUUUUUGCCACUGGAGCAAACGUCUCAUUGUAGGCAAUCCCUGCAACUUGCUUGUUCCCGAGAAUUACCAAUCGAGCCUUAUAGCGCUUAAUGGUUCCAUCAGCAUUAUAUUUAAUCUUGUAUACCCAUUUACAAUUUAUAGCUCGUUUUCCUGGUGGUAAGGAUUCUACAGUCCAUGUCUCAUUAUCUUCCAGUGCUUGUAUCUCUUUCUUCAUUGCAUCUCUCCAUUUUUCAUCUUUGACCGCUUCAGUAAAAGAACUGGGCUCAGUACCUGCAGUGACAGCUGCCAAGAAAGCACGAUGUCGCAAUGAAAACUUAUCAUAGUUCACAUAAUGUGUUAUCGGAUAAGGACUACCUGAGGAAUGCGUAUGGCCAAGUGAGCGUGCAGAGGGGCUCGAGGAGGAGCUCAACCAUUGUACUGUGUGUAAGACAUAAUCUCGCAAUCUGGUGGAUUGUUGUCGUUGCCUGCAACCACGCCCUAGCACAAUUUCAGAUUGCUCAUCAUCCAUAAUCUCAUUGGCACCCCCGUUGCUACAAAUAUUCCUUGAUCCUGUUCAUCAUAUAUAGGUGUUUCAGUAGAUUGCCCAUAAUCUAUAUCCCUUAUACCUUCUUGAUCCUCUUGGUUUGGCAUCCUAGAGUGGUGCUCCAUGUCCAAGUUUUCACUCACAGCAGCUCCCCGCAUAAUUUCCUCUUCGGCAACCAAGCUAUCUAACUCAUUAUUUUUCGUUUUGCCUUGCUCACUAGUGCCUUUGUUCACAUAAGGAAACACAUGUUCUUUGAAUACAACAUCCCUUGAGACAAAGAGCUCACCCGAGUUCAGAUCAUCCAAGCUCCAGCCUUUCUUUCCAUAAGGAUACCCAAUAAAAAUGCAUUUCCUACUUUGACUGGCAAAUUUAUCUCCUCCAUGCUUUUGAUUAUGAGCAUAAGCCAAACAUCCAAACACUUAGAUAUUUUUAUACGAAGGGGUUUCACCAAACAAUAUUUCAUAAGGUGUUUUCCCUUGUAACAAGUCGGAUGGAGUUCGAUUGAUUAAGUAUGCAGCUGUCAAUAUACACUCUCCCCAAAAUUCAAUGGGCAAAUUUGCUUGGAAACGCAGUGCCCGUGCUACAUUGAGUAUAUGACGAUGUUUCCGUUCUACUCUCCCAUUUUGUUGAGGGGUCCCAACGCACGAGGUUUGAUGUAUUACACCUUUCUCCACAAAAUAACCAUCCAAACAGGUGAACUCAGUUCCAUUAUCACUACGCACUAUUUUCACAUGUCUAUUAAAUUGUCUAUGAACCAUAGCAAAGAAAUUCUGAAUCGUUCGUGCCACCUCGCUUUUAUUAUUUAAUAAAUAAAUCCACACUGCUCUAGAGUAAUCAUCAACAAUAGUCAAAAAAUAAUAUGCACCGCAAAAAGUUGGAGUUCUAUAAGGACCCCAUAAAUCACAAUGAAUCUUCUCAAAAAUAUUAGAUGCCUUAUUAUCACUUGAUACAAACUCUUCUCGACAAUGUUUUGCUCGGACACAGACUUCACAUUCAUCAGUGCACUUAUUAUUAUUUCUAUUAACGAUGGGUAACAACCUAAUGACCUUGUUGGAAGGAUGGCCCAACCUUUGAUGCCAAAGAUCUACUGAGUCAUUUUCUGCUACUUUUAUAACUUUGACUGAUGUUAAGCUCCGAAAGUAGUAGAGCCCCUCGCGUUGCUCACCCGCACCAAUUAGCAUCCUCGAAUUGUGGUCCUGUAUAAUACAAAAUUUAUUAGUGAACUGGACUAUACAAUUCGACUCCUUAAUCAACUGUGCUACUGAAAUUAAGUUACACUUUAAAUUAGGCACAUAUAACACAUUAUUUAGUUUUAGAUGUUUAUCCAAAACUAUGGUUCCUUCUUUCUCCGCUAUUGUUUCCUUCCCAUCUGGUAGCCCAACAGAACAUGAGAGGAUUUUCUUCACAUCACUCAUCGACUUAAGGCUUCCUGUCAUAUGAUGAGAGGCCCCGCUGUCAAUUAUCCAUUCCAUUAUUUUAUGCUUACCGUUCAAUCUUCCUUGAUUCCCUUCUUUUUGCCCAUUUAAUAGAUUAAGCAAUAAAUUCCAUUGUUCGUUGCUUAGUCCAUUCAAUCCACUUUUGUCUGCUUCGACUCUCUGUUCUUGAGCCGUGCUUCCCUGUGUUGUUACUUGCGCUACGUUGGCCCGAAUUUGUCCACCCCGUCCUCUUCCUCCAGAUGCAGCAGGCUGCUUCUGUCCUCCUUGUCCACGGCCUGUUCCACGUCCACCUCCUCCUCGAGGUCUAUCCCCCCACCAAUCGGGGUACCUAAUUAGCUGGAAACAUGAUUCUGCAUCGUGUCCUGUUCUCUUGUAAUUUGAGCACAACACGGUUUUGUCCUUGCUCUCGGUCCGUCCUUUCAAGCUUGUUGCUGUUUGAAUUGCAAAAGCCAUGGCCUCGACUUGCUGUUCCUUCCCGCGGGUUAUACUACAAACUCGCUCUUCCUGGAUAAUCAUAGCAUAUGCUCGAUUCAAGGUUGGCAAUGGUUUAGUGCUCAAGAUAUUAGAGCGCACCGUCCCAUAAGUUGAGUCAUCCAAGCCCAUAAAAAACUGAUGUAGCCUUUCCUCUUCACGUUUCUUAUCUAAUUCCGCGCUAAUGUUGCAUGCACAUCCUCCACAUCGGCACGUCGAGUAUUGCUCAUAGUUUCCCAAUUCUUCCCAGAUCAUCUUUAAUUUGCCAUAGUAACUCAUAACAGUUAUGCCUCGCUGUUUACAUUCAGCUAACUCAGUUUAAGCUGAUGAACAUGUGGUUCGUUUCCUGCCGAGAACCGUUCCUUGAUAUCAUCCCAAAGUUCCUUUGCAACUUCCCUGUAAGUUAUAGUCGAGCGCAAAGUUGGUUCAAUUGUGUUCAAGAUACAUGAUAUCAGCAUGGAGUUAACUGUCCACCAAUCUUCCUGUGUCAUAGAAUCAUCCAAAGGCUGUAUCACAGAACCAUCGAUGAAGCCAAAUUUUUUCUUGGCCCGCAACGCCGUUCUCAUUGCUCGUGCCCAUUCAUCAUAAUUGUCACCCUUCAAUUGAACUUGGGUGAUUGUGUUCCCUAGAUUGUCGUUGGCCAAGAGAAAAUACGGUGAUGUUGCACUCUUCGACGGCCCAUCAUCGCUGCCGCUCCUAGCCAUAUUUGUGUUGCUCUGAUACCAUGAAAAGAAUAUAUUUCAGAAUUGAAUUUCUUGCCCUUCUCAUUAACAACUCAUGCACGUAUAUAUACAGAUUACAUUCCUAUAAUUAAGGGGUUAAUAUUCCUACGUAUCCCUAUAGUCUAGCAGUUGUCAUUGUUUGUUUACAACUAAUAUUCCAAUAUAUUUGUUGUGCAAUUAAAUAUUAACAUUUUAUUUGAUUGUGCGCAGAAUAUGGAAUGAAGCGCACUAAAUAAUCACAGCAAAAAUAAAUGAUACAAUAAUUUAAUGUGGUUCGGCAAUAUGUCUACGUCUAUGGGAGUAAAAAAAAUAAUUCUAUUAAUAAAAUUAUUUUGAGUAAAAUAUUUGAGUAAAGAAACUUCAGUUUUCAAAAAAUAAAUACAUACUCUCACACAUACUUGAAAAGAAAAAACUCUCAAAUACACACACUCCUUAAAAGUAAAAAAUUCUUAAAUACAUACACUAUUCAAUUGCUCACUCUCUCGAUAAUUCUUUACUCGAAUUGUUUCUCUCAAUUUUAGGAUGAUUUUUAAUGAGUGGAGUAGCUUCAAUUUACAGGAGCCCCUCAAGGAAUUUGUCAAUAGAGCGGGUAAUUUUUAAAAACCUCCCCUGAGGUUUGGGCUUGUUGCAAGUAGAUGGCGAGAAUCUAUUUAUUUGUAAAAAACCCCCUGUUUGAGAACAGUAGUUAGUCAUUUCAGUUACUAAUGUUCUGACACAAAUAAAAACCAAACUUGUAAAAAGAAGUUUCGUUUCGUUUCAAACAAUGCAUCUCUUUGCUAUCAUUUUUUUAAUAAUCUUAAAAACUAAAAACUAAAAACGAAAGCAAAAAAAAAAAUGACCACCACCAUCAUCAUAUAAAACCUUGGAUACAAAGACGAUUUUUGAUCAUCACAGAGGAUUACCGAAUUGAUGAGCAGCAGCUUACAGUGGCAACGAGCAGUAGCACAAACCACAAGCACGAACCACUAGUCCACGAUGUAUCGCAGUGAGUUUCGCCGGCAACCCACAAGCACGAACAUCUAUGUCGAAGCGAAUCAGAGGUGAGUUGUUUGAAAACACACUCUUAUCUGCUUUUUAUUUGUAGAUAACUCAAAAAGAUAUUGUGAUUUAUAUACAUGGCUUAGGUAAAAUCAGAAUUGAAAUUAGAAAAAUUUAGCUCUGUAAUGGCAGUAAAACAAGGCAAAAUUUGUUUGAUCUAUAUAUAACAUUUGCUGCAUAUGGUCGUGGACUUACAAUGGUUAAGCCUUAGAGUUUACAGCUUAUAGGAGAAUUGGUUUUUGGUUUAAUAUUAGUGGAAGGAAUAAUAAGAGCCAAGCUAUUUGACACCGGACACUUGAUUAAUGUAAGAAAUUCUACUCAAAACUGAACAGUCUACACUUAACUGAUUAUAACUUACUGUAGAUAGCUUCAAAUUUAGAUUAGUAAAAUUCAUUUGAAAGCUAACAGAAAUAUAGUUCCAAUGAUGUAUGGCUCGAAAAUUAAUUCGAUUUCAUGCAGUACAGUUUAAUUCCCAAAGAUGCCCCUUCUGCACAUAAAUUCUUCUCACUUGAUUAAUGUAACAAAUUCUACUAAAAACUGAACAGUCUGCACUUAACUGAUCAUAACUUACUGUAGAUAGCUCCAAAUUUAGAUUAGUAAAAUUCAUUGGAAAGUUAACAGAAAUAUCUUUCCAAUGAUGUAUGGCUCGAAAAUUAAUUUGAUCUCAUGCAGUACAAUUUAAUCCACUGUCUUUAUGUAAUCAUGCCAAAUACAAGUAGCUUGGUGGUGCUUGUUGGGUUAUCAAUUGUAAAAAUGGAAAAAAUGAAUGUAUUUCUUGCCUGUUGUGUGAAGGUUGUAUAGAGUGGCCAGAACUGAUACUGCUGCUUUGUACUAGUGCUGGAUGGUUUCAUUUGAAAAAAAAAAAUUAUUAAAUCUAGCUUUUGCAUGUGUGUUAUUUGUGAUGAUGAUGAGAAAUGUUGUGAAGAAUGACACAUUUAGAGUAUAAGGGAAGAAGAAUGACAUGUUGAGAAGUAUAAAUUGUUUCUGUGUGCUGUGCAUAAGGCUUUAAAUUACUUUACAAUCUUAUAAAUAGCAGGAGACUUGCAAUAUGAUUGUUGGUUUGUAAUGGUCAUAAUGCAACACCCUCUUUAUUUUUUUUUCAAGUUUUUAAUUUUAUCUUUCUUGUAGGAACUUUAAGGAAAUAUCAAUAAUUUAAAGAGGGUAAAAUAGUCAUAAUCCUUACCUAUGAUAUUGUAAAUCUUUGGAAUUGACAGGUAUAAAAUUGUCAAAAAAUAGGGUUUGUGCUUUUCGCACCAACAAUUUUAAUUUUUUUUUUUAGUUAUGUCAGUCUAUAAACUGUUGUUAAGGGCAAUAUUAUCUUUGCACAGUCAACUAACGGUCAAUGUAAAAAUUAACUGACGGUAGGAGGUUUUUUACAAAUAAACGGAUUCUCGCCAUCUACCUGCAACAAGCCCAAACCUCAGGGGAGGUUUUUCAAAAUUACCCCAAUAGCGCCCGUCAAUUUGUCGAUAGUGCCCAUUAAUGUCAACUUGACAAAUUGGCCAACAUUUGGCUAAUUUGUCAAAAUUGAUAUGUACUGUUUUGAAACACAAAAAAAAUGAAUAUGGCUCAUGAGCAAACAAAUCACCAAUUUUGACUUUUCAACAAUAUUUUGUCCAAACAAGAAAGUUAAGGCAUCGAUAAUUAAUUUGGAUUAUUAAGAUGUUGCUUUCACACAAAUUACAAUUUAACGUUUGGCACAAUAGCUGAAAUGCAAGGUAAAGUCGGCAAAGACUUUCUGUCAUGCUAUAUCUCCACUUAGUACCAACUUAUAUAUAACAACAUUAUUAAGACCAACAGCAAAAGAUCUCAGUUAGGCCCCGUUUGGGAUUGCUUUUGGGAGGGUUAAAAGUGAUUUUAAAAAAUGUAAAAGCUAAUUUUAGUGUUUGGUAAAAAAAAAUCAAAAUCACUUUUCCCAGAAUCAGCUCCUCCUACAGCUGAUUUUGAAAAGUAGGAAAGGAGUAACUUUUAGAUUCUGAUUUUGAGAAUCAAUUUUAUCCUUUAAUAUAAUUCCAUAAAUAUUCUUACAAUUAUUACUUAAACCCGAAAUUAUCCUUAUUUAAAUUGGAAAUAAAAUCAAUAUUUUAAUACUUUUUUAUUAUAAUUAACGCACACCUUUCGUUUGCCCUAUUUCUUCAUAUUUUGUGUUCUAUCAAAACUUCUCUAGUGCAAUAAAGUAAGAACCAAUACGUGUUCCAUCACCAUAUUCAAUAACAGUAAGUGAUUCAUCACCCUUUUCAUGCAUAUUCAAUGUAAUUUUUAUUAUAAUAUUUGUACGUGUACAUUUUUAUAUGUAUAAGUAAAUUUCAUCUUACAUUAUGUACAUUUUAGUAAUUUAUUUUCUUACAGCAGUUUAACAAUAAGAUUUACCAAACACCCAUAUCUGCUUGCAAAAUUCACAGUACUUUUGAAAAUAAAAUUUGCCAAACACUUAACUAAUUCUUUUCACAGCUGAUUAUUUCCACAGCACAGCUAACAGCAAUUAUUUUAAAAGCUGCAGCAUUACCAAACUGGCCCUUAUUCUCACUAAGAGCAAAACAUGGUUGAUUUUAGAGGCUGCAUUUUUCUUCUCCUCACAUGCCAGUCUCCACGAACUUGGCCCGAUCAAUCUUCCGAAGAAGUCAACUUGUCGAUAGUGCCCAUUAAUGUCAACUUGACAAAUUGGCCAACAUUUGGCUAAUUUGUCAAAAUUGAUAUGUACCGUUUUGAAACACAAAAAAAAAUGCAUAUGGCUCAUGAGCAAACAAAUCACCAAUUUUGACUUUUCAACAAUAUUUUGUCCAAACAAGAAAGUUAAGGCGUCGAUAAUUAAUUUGGAUUAUUAAGAUGUUGCUUUCACACAAAUUACAAUUUAACGUUUGGAACAAUAGCUGAAAUGCAAGGUAAAGCCGGCAAAGACUUUCUGUUAUGCUAUAUCUCCACUUAGUACCAACUUAUAUAUAACAGCAUUAUUAAGACCAACAGCAAAAGAUCUCAGUUUUCCACCAAGCCCAAUGGCAUUACCGAUCAUCGGACACCUCCACCUCCUUGCCCCAGUACCUCACCAUGCACUUCACAAACUUUCCAUCCGCUAUGGACCCUUAAUUCAUUUGUUCCUUGGCUCAGUCCCAUGUGUUGUUGCUUGCUCCCCUGAAACAGCAAAGGAGAUCCUCAAAACCCAUGAAACUUCUUUCUGCGACCGCCCCAUU
rnacentral:lncRNA from 1 species